UGGAGGAGAUGCAAACAACGGAGAGGAUGACGAUGAACGAGGAGGUAUCAGAGACGGGGAAGAAAGAAAAAGAAAAAGAGAGGGAGAAGAGAGAAGGGUCUCUGCAGAUCCGCCCCUCCAGCUUGAUCUUCUACCUCUCGCUCCUGUGCCUCGUAAUCCACCUUCUUCUCUGGUGGGUUUUCCAUGGCAAACUGCAAAUGGGAAUCAUGAAGCGGGUUCUUUGGAUCUUUUGGGGGCUGCGCUUGAGAGAGGGUUCGACGUGAAUCGGUAGCCGUCGGCCGAGGAAGCCAAUGAUGGUGCAGCAGUAUCUUCUCCUAAUAGCACUCUAUCGUCGUUCCAGAUGGAUUUCCCCUUGGGGUUUUAAAAGUUUUGGAAACAGUGAAGGGUUGGUGGAGAAUUGGGUUUCUGUGAAUUGGUGGAGAAAACAGUUAAAAGUUUUCUGUGAAUGGAAAGAGAAAAAGUUAUCUGUGAAUUGGGAAACAGUGAAGGGUUGGUGGAGAAUUUGGGGUUGCUUCUAGCUGUUGCAAGAUCUCUUCAAUAAUUCCAUUUUUUGUUGGUUUU